rnacentral:SRP_RNA from 1 species
GCUGGGCAUGGUGGCAAAUGCCUAUAAUGCCAGCUAGUAGGGAGUCUGGGUUGGCAGAUCAUUUGAGCUCUGGAAUUCUGAGAUGAAGUAAGCUAUGCUGAUGGCAUGUCUACAUUAAGUUUAGCAUCAAUAAAGUGAACCUCUUGUGAGUGGAGGGCCACCAGGUAGCCUAAGGAAGGUUGAACCAGUCCAGGUCAGAAAUGAAGCAGGUCAAAGUUCUCAAGGCAAUCAGGAAGGAGACUGGGCCCAUAAGUAGCCUGGGCCAGAUGGAGAGACAAAGAUAGGGAGAGAU